rfam:Pseudonocardia sp. HH130629-09, complete genome.
CUUCACCGACCCGAGCAGCAGCGGCUCGGUCCGGUCCUGCCCGUAGGUCGCGAGCAGGGCCUGGGCCUC